AGUUUGAUCCUGGCUCAGAGCGAACGCUGGCGGCAGGCUUAACACAUGCAAGUCGAGCGGGCGUAGCAAUACGUCAGCGGCAGACGGGUGAGUAACACGUUGGAACGUACCUUUUGGUUCGGAACAACACAGGGAAACUUGUGCUAAUACCGGAUAAGCCCUUACGGGGAAAGAUUUAUCGCCGAAAGAUCGGCCCGCGUCUGAUUAGCUAGUUGGUGAGGUAAUGGCUCACCAAGGCGACGAUCAGUAGCUGGUCUGAGAGGAUGAUCAGCCACAUUGGGACUGAGACACGGCCCAAACUCCUACGGGAGGCAGCAGUGGGGAAUAUUGGACAAUGGGGGCAACCCUGAUCCAGCCAUGCCGCGUGAGUGAUGAAGGCCCUAGGGUUGUAAAGCUCUUUUGUGCGGGAAGAUAAUGACGUACCGCAAGAAU
rnacentral:rRNA from 1 species